UUGCUAUAUAUAACUUGCUUUUACUUAUAUGUUUAUAAAAAAUUCAGUCUGUGGCCUUCAAAAGCAACCCUGCUCAGUUUUUCUCUUUAGAACUUUUUCUUGGCUUCUGCCAAGAAAAUUGGAAUAUUGCAAGAUAUUCCAAAUUCUUGCUUUGUUUUUCUACCUCAAUACCAAUUGUUGCCUAAAAGAUGAAUGCUCUAUGAUGUCAGAGGCAACCUCAGUUCAUUUAUCUUGGAGACAGGACCAAAGUUCUGACUUAGCUGUCUCAGGAAACAAAGGUCGUUUUCUCUCUGUAUCCCAGGACAUGGUCCUUCUCUCAGGAGAGAACACUAUUUUGAAAAGGGGCUAACUCUAUAGCCUGCUGAACCUCCCUCUAAAGAGGAAACAUAACUAAAUCAACCUUGUGAUAGUUCAAAUUGGAUUAUCCAAUUCUGAUCUUCAGGGUCUUGAAAUACCCUGAUUCUACUUGGUCAUCCCAUUUGAUACCAACUCUGCAACUGUGAAAGAGGGAAAUUUUUGAUAGGGAAAAUGAGAAGAGGAGAAAAAGAGCAUGAAAAAGAAAUCAUGAUCCAGUUCCCAUCAAAAGACCUUCCAGGAAAGAUGAAAAGAAGACUGAUUACAGCUGCUUGGGAAAACCAGACAGAACCAUUGUGGGAAAAAAUAGAGCAUCAUUUGAAUUCUAAGCCAAUGUCCCACCUCAACCAACCCAUAGGCAGGACAUGUCUCAAACAACCACUCAUAGUAACACAGUUUCCAAACUCUCAAAAAACUGUACUAAUGCCAUCUCUUAAUCCAAAGGAGAACUCAAAAAAAUUGACCUGCCCUGGCAAGUCGUAUACUAUGUCAGACUUGCCCUUAAAACGUUGCCCUAGUAACCAGUCCCAUAUGGAGCCUUUCUCAGGACCUGGGCACUACCAGAACAUUUUAGUUGACCACAAUCACCAAACAGCUGAGGCCCAACAGACUCAGAUCCCAUCUGUACGUGGACACAGAGGUAAAGUUAAACAUAAAGUCCCCAUGAAGAAAGACUUCAAAGUCUUACCUGAGCACAAUGUGCCAAAGGGGACAACUCUAAAUGCUCUUGUAAGAAGUUUAAACUUUGCCUCCAAAUCUAAAAUUAUCUCAGCAUGUUUUUCUGAGUCUUUACCUAAAGCUAAUGGUUUAAAACCAUUAAACCAUGACUGGACUAAGGAAAGAGAAAUGAGAAAAUCUCUUUCUGGGCCCCAAAUUCCCACUUUUUCUCUUUGUAAUAAUGUUACCGAUGCAAGAAAUGCCCAUCCUUCCUACCCCACACAGUGGCCUACUCCCACUACAGAUAAACCACCACAUGAUAUAGACGAAUUAAUAUCAGCCCUGGGAUUAGAAACACCAAAAUUUGGACCAUGGCAACAUGCAGAAAAGGAGAAUUUUUCAGAUUUCCAACAAUGGGCCAAGUGCUCUUCUACAUGCCUGAAGUACCGUUGCAUGUACUGUAUGCCAAUGGAUACGUUUGCAUCAUGACAAUCCCUCAGUCUAACCAGAGCUCUACCAAGCUAAAGUCAGCAAAUUGAGAAUAUGUAUAAGCCAGAGAUAAAGCGUCAGUCCACAAUGUUAGCCUGUAUACAGGUUUAUACAAUUGGACCGAGAUGUUCCACUGACCUCAUCUACCUGAGUCAUCAUGAACACCCGUGUAUCUCUUCAUUGUUUCAUCUCCUAAAUAGGCUAUCAUCAAACAUAGCUGAAACUAUGCAGCACCCUGAGAACAUCAGGCCACUUUGUAAAAGUGCUUGAGCACUCACGUGUGCAAAACUGCAGACAGGCAGGGAAACUGAAGAAACGCUGUGCCCUGAGCACACCAGGCCUUUCUCUAAUGAAACCUGACCACCACCUUUUGGACAUGCAAAAACCAGACUCUGACAAGCAAGCUUAAGGACCUCCAAGCAUCUCUCCAAUGAACCUAGACCAUCUGAACAUUUCACAACUGGACUGAAAUCAGCAUGUCAGGAGGCAAUCCCAGGCUACCUUCUCACUAAUACUGACUACUAUUUAAAUGUGUCCUCUGUCCCACACAGAAUUCAUUUUUAAUAAGUCUCAUUCACUGACCACAAAUAUGCCCCCGAACCCCUUUUAUUGAGUUUGAUAUUACUCCUCUCUAACAUUCCCAUCUCCUUGGCAGGUCUCAGGGUGGCUGAUUGUUUUUAAUUUUUAUAUGUGACAAAAAUAUUUUAGAGCCCAUGAGCGUGAUAUAUCUGUGAAUCUAUUAUACAUAGAUUGUAUAUAGUUCUAUUUUAUGUGUAUAUAUAUCUACCAUUUAUAAUAGCUUGCUUUUACUUUUAAGUAUAUAAAGGAUUUAAUCUGUAACUUUUAAAAGCAAUCCUGCUUGUCUUUUUUCUCCCUAAAUUUUCUUCUCCUGUACAUUUCACAAAAUAUUCUAAAGACUGUUUUUUUUUCUUUUUUCAUAUUACUAUUUUUAACUCCUUGUUCUACCCAACUUAGUACCUUCCCUCUACCCCAAACCUAGAGCAUUGGGGGAGAAGGCAGAAUAAAUACAAUCAUUAUUACA
rnacentral:lncRNA from 1 species